GCGCCUGUAGCUCAAUUGGAUAGAGCGUCUGACUACGGAUCAGAAGGUUCCGGAUUCAAGUUCUGGCAGGCGCGCCA
rnacentral:tRNA from 1 species